CUGGCUCAGGAUGAACGCUGGCGGCGUGCCUAACACAUGCAAGUCGAACGGAGAUUUAACGCUGAUGAGGCUUCGGCGGAUUCUUGUUAAAUCUUAGUGGCGGACGGGUGAGUAACGCGUGGGCAACCUGCCUCAUACUGGGGGAUAACAGUUGGAAACGACUGUUAAUACCGCAUAAGCGCACUAGAGUCGCAUGACUCAGUGUGAAAAACUC
rnacentral:rRNA from 1 species